UAAUACGUAGGGCGCAAGCGUUGUCCGGAUUCACUGGGUGUAAAGGGUGCGCAGGCGGGAGUGCCAGUCAGCGGUGAAAUCUCACGGCUCAACCGUGAAACUGCCGUUGAUACUGCAUUUCUUGAGUUAGGGAGAGGUUGAUGGAAUUCCAGGUGUAGCGGUGAAAUGCGUAGAUAUCUGGAAGAACACCGGUGGCGAAGGCGGUCAACUGGCCCUCAACUGACGCUGAGGCACGAAAGCGUGGGGAUCAAACAGGAUUAGAUACCCUGGUAGUCCACGCCCUAAACGAUGAAUACUUGGUGUUGGUCUUUUUUGAUCAGUGCCGAAGGAAACCUGAUAAGUAUUCCACCUGGGGAGUACGCUCGCAAGGGUG
rnacentral:rRNA from 1 species